GUAGGUGGCAAGCGUUGUCCGGAAUUAUUGGGCGUAAAGCGCGCGCAGGCGGUUCUUUAAGUCUGAUGUGAAAGCCCACGGCUCAACCGUGGAGGGUCAUUGGAAACUGGAGAACUUGAGUACAGAAGAGGAAAGCGGAAUUCCACGUGUAGCGGUGAAAUGCGUAGAGAUGUGGAGGAACACCAGUGGCGAAGGCGGCUUUCUGGUCUGUAACUGACGCUGAGGCGCGAAAGCGUGGGGAGCAAACAGGGAUUAGAUACCCUGGUAGUCCACGCCGUAAACGAUGAGUGCUAAGUGUUAGGGGGUUUUCCGCCCCCCUUAGUGCUGCAGCUAACGCAUUAAGCACUCCGCCCUGGGAGUACGGCCGCAAGGCUG
rnacentral:rRNA from 1 species